rnacentral:rRNA from 1 species
UACGUAGGGUGCAAGCGUUAAUCGGAAUUACUGGGCGUAAAGCGUGCGCAGGCGGUUUUGUAAGUCUGUCGUGAAAUCCCCGGGCUCAACCUGGGAACUGCAUUUGUGACUGCAUAGCUAGAGUACGGUAGAGGGGGAUGGAAUUCCGCGUGUAGCAGUGAAAUGCGUAGAUAUGCGGAGGAACACCGAUGGCGAAGGCAAUCCCCUGGACCUGUACUGACGCUCAUGCACGAAAGGCGUGGGGAGCAAACAGG